GGCUGCCGGGGUGAGUGUGAGUGUGAGAGCGAGAACAGCCCGGCAGGUCCCGAGGCGCCGGCUGGGGACUCUACGCGGAAAGUUCCCAGUCCCCAGCCGCAGGUAUUUUCCCUGCCACUGAUCAUGGAAAGAAAUCUUCGAGAAGGGGAAAAAGUUGCACACGGGCCACCGAUCGGCAGGGAUCACCUCAUUAAGGGACUCUAAGCGAGGACAGGAUGCGGGUCGCCCUCCCGGGUGCCAGCAGCACCGGGCCUUGCGAGGCGCUUCCGAUAUCCCUGCGCCUGGUCUGGCCCAGAGCCACGCAGCGGAGGGGAGCGGGCGCUGUUUUCGGCUUUUCCCCCUGACCUUUGGAGCUCUCUCCCCGCCGCGCCCCGCCCCGCCCCGCCCCGGGAUAGACGAGGGCCCAGCGCUGGCGGCGCCGAGCCGGGAACACAAGCGGAGCCCCGAGUGUGCACCGCUGCGGGUAUCUGCCAGCACGUUUGCACGUUUGCACAUUGCAGUUCCUGUGUCCCCCCUCCUGUUCCCCGGCCUCUGGAUCGGCGUGCGCCCCGGCGGAGCCGCCCGGGUGCCUAAGGAAGCGCUUGGCUAGCUCGUGCCCACUCGCGACGCGCGGGGCCGCGCGGGGCCACGCGGCGCAUCCGCGCAGCCAGUGCCUGUGAAGUUAAAACAGCCCGAACUCUUAGUGCCCGAGAGUGGAUUGCAUGCCAAUUCUCCAAGGCAAGAUCCCUAAAUACAUAUAUUUACAGUAACUCAUGGUCUGGUCGCAAGGAACACGUUGUUUAUUCACUGAAACAGCACGAGUUCAGUGUCCUUACGCUACAGGAUACAGGAUAGGAAGGUUCCCUAGCGGCGUCCCUGUAAUGAAUGAUCCAAGAGUAACACCACCACAACCUGCGAGGAAGGCACAGUGGUUUCGGCACAGAGGUUUGUGCCCGUCCCUUCAGUCCGGGAAUUCCGAAGCGCCGGUGUCCACCGGCGUGACCGUGGAUCGGGGCGUGCUCCUGCGAGUCCGGCGAGUUCGUGUCCACCGCCUGGCCGCCCGCCCCAGAAACCUGGCUCCGGGAGAUGGGUCCUGCCUUCCAGUGGGCAGAAGGAAAGGAUGCCAGCAAAAAUGGCUAAUCCUCUUCCAGCUGCAGUAAAUUGACGACUGGCCAAAGCCAAGCGAAACCCGCUGCAGUUAAAAAGAUUUUAGCUUCACGUCUGGGGCUGAGAAUGGAGCGGCAGUAUAUAAAACGACCUGUGGAUCAAUGGAAAGGAGAUCGUAGUGUCUCCGAAUAUUAAUACGGUAUUGCAUCUUUAUUUCCCUCCCCUUCCCCCUUUUUCUUCAGAUCUGCAGGGUGGCAAUGAAAUGUUUUGAGGUCUUCAAGCUGACUCAUCAGAAUCACGGAGCCGUGUAAAAAUGACGGUAAUUUUCCGAUAUGUUCGUCUGUACGUGUGGAAACACUUGUGUGCGCGCGCCUGUUUACGUGUGAGAGACAUGCGGCUGAAUGACAAUGCAGAUCCAGAAUUUGUUUGGGAAGGUGGGUUUCCACAAGGGAACCGUACCCAGAGUUUUAGCCGAUGUAGGGCGUCUGCUGACUGCCAGAGAGCUUUCAGAAGAGGGAGAUGAGAAUGUGGAGAGAUGGCCAGAUUUUCCUGUAAAUAAUCACUACCUCCACUGUAACACUUGAACUGCAUUUUUUUCUAUAUAGCAGAUGUGUUUGGUAACUCUCCCCUCAAACGUGGGUCACAGGCGCCUCCUAGCGGCGAAAGCAGCAUAAAGCAAGCCGGGUAAUUUUGCUUUCUCCUCGGGCAGGGCUCGCCUGUUGGGGGCUCUGCUGGAUUUCUUGGAUCACCAAAGCCUGUGUCCGCGCUAGGGAAGCCAGGCCAGGGCCUCCAAAGGCCUCCCUUCUCCGACUUUUACUGUUUCUGGUGGUGACAGCGGAAACAGAGGGGAUAACGGUGGGGUCUUCACAGAAUAGAUCCCAGCCCAACCUCCCCCAGUACAGAGUGAGAGGCAUUCCAUCGAGGGACCAUUGCAAAAGUCUUUUGUUUGAAGCCAAGAUUUAGAUACAGACAUUAGCAGCCAUCUCUGCCUCCCGUACCCGUGAACCAUUAACAUAAACCUGCCCUGUCACACACAGGCCAAAACACUUUAAAAUUGCCUUUUAAAAAUACUUUUAAAACACAGCAGGUUUACAUUCUCUCUGGCUGUGGUACACAGUAGAUCCUUCCCACUUGGUUUUUCUUUCUUUCUUUUUUUCUUUUUUUUUUUUUUUUCUCCCACUGCCCUUUGACCUGAGAAUUUUGAAUUCUUAAUGGCAUGUACUCCAGCCUGAGCGUGUAGGUCAAUGAGAUGUCUGAAUGAGUAGAGUGUCACAUAUAUCCUGCGUUCACUUUUGGACUCCACAUUACUGGAGUGGGAAGGGAGAAGUAAACAUAGUGCACGUAAUCCUUCCCUCCCACAGCCUUGAUCCCAGGAGCACCAAAGUCAACAAACUGCAUAAAGGGUAAAAAGGGUAAAAGGGUAAAAGAAUUCUGUAUUGUGUGGAGAAAGAUUAUAAAAAUCUGUUUUCAUAUAAGUUGUGGUUUAUAUGUGAGAGUGAUAAUGUACAAUUCAUCUAUUUUAUUGGGUUCUAACUGCAGCAGAAGUAAGGGGACAUUAAGGUUCUUCCAGAGCAGUUAACAAACUUUGAAACUAGGUUGUGGGGUUGUUCUCUUCUCUGUACUUUGCUGAAAAGGGCGGAAGGGAAACAAGUGUGUUAACUAGCGUGUGAGUAAAUGAGUGUUUGCAGUGA